GACGAACGCUGGCGGCGUGCUUAACACAUGCAAGUCGAACGAUGAAGGAGAGCUUGCUCUCCGGAUUAGUGGCGAACGGGUGAGUAACACGUGACUAACCUGCCCCUUUCUCUGGGAUAACGCUCCGAAAGGAGUGCUAAUACCGGAUACGAACUCUGAACACAUGUUCGGAGUUGGAAAGUUUUUCGGAAAGGGAUGGAGUCGCGGCCUAUCAGCUUGUUGGGGAGGUAACGGCUCACCAAGGCGACGACGGGUAGCCGGCCUGAGAGGGCGACCGGGCACACGGGGGCUGGGACAAGGCACGGUCGACUAAGUGAGGCAGCAGUGGGGAAUAUUGCCCAAUGGGCGAAAGCCUGAUGCAGCGACGCUGCGUGAGGGAUGAAGGUCUUCGGAUUGUAAACCUCUUUCAGUAGGGACGAAGCGAAAGUGACGGUACCUAAAGAAGAAGCACCGGCUAACUACGUGCCAGCAGCCGCCGUAA
rnacentral:rRNA from 1 species